rnacentral:rRNA from 1 species
AUCAACUUUCGAUGGUAGGAUAGAGGCCUACCAUGGUGGUAACGGGUAACGGGGUGUUAGGGCACGACACCGGAGAGGGAGCCUGAGAAACGGCUACCACAUCCAAGGAUGGCAGCAGGCGCGCAAAUUACCCAAUCCCGACACGGGGAGGUAGUGACAAUAAAUAACAAUACGGGGUUCUUUAGGAUCUCGUAAUUGGAAUGAGUACAAUUUAAAUCUCUUAACGAGGAACAAUUGGAGGGCAAGUCUGGUGCCAGCAGCCGCGGUAAUUCCAGCUCCAAUAGCGUAUAUUAAAGUUGUUGCAGUUAAAAAGCUCGUAGUUGAAUUUCGGGGUCAGUAGGUUGGUCGUGCCACCGGUACGUACUGGUCUCACUGAUUCCUCCUUCCCGAUGAGCUGUAAUGCCAUUAAUUUGGUGUUGCAGGGAAUCUGGACUGUUACUUUGAAAAAAUUAGAGUGUUUAAAGCAGGCUAACGCUUGAAUACAUUAGCAUGGAAUAAUGAAAUAGGACGUUCGAUCCUAUUUUGUUGGUUUCUAGGAUUGACGUAAUGAUUAAUAGGGAUAGUUGGGGGCAUUAGUAUUCAAUUGUCAGAGGUGAAAUUCUUGGAUUUAUUGAAGACUAACUACUGCGAAAGCAUUUGCCAAGGAUGUUUUCAUUAAUCAAGAACGAAAGUUAGGGGAUCGAAGACGAUCAGAUACCGUCGUAGUCUUAACCAUAAACUAUGCCGACUAGGGAUCGGAUGAUGUUAAUUUUUUAAUGACUCAUUCGGCGCCUUACGGGAAACCAAAGUGUUUGGGUUC